CCCAAUUCAACUAAAUAGUUUCUUAUCCACAUAGAUGCUUCUGUGUUUGGAUUGGGAGUAAUGCUGAGCCAGGUCGGGGACGAUGGCGCAGAACAACUGGUAGCUUACCUCAGCCGAAAACUACUAAACCAGGAGGUGAGCUACGCCGCCAUUGAAAAGGAAUGCUUUGCGGUGGUGUGGGCCAUAAAGAAGCUGCAGCCCUACAUCUACGGACAACAGUUUACUUUGAAAAACAGAAAGAGAGAGGGAGACACACAAAGUGUGAGUCCCAUUAGACUACCAUUUAUCUUUAAACCACCUAUCAAGAAUAGAACAUAGAAC